UUUAUCAAUGCCCAAAAUUUAUAUAUAUUUUAUUUUCUAACAAGUUCUUAUAGUGUUAUCUUAAAAAGGAAAAAAAAUAUUAUGAAUGGUGAAGUCUAUAUUCAUUUUUGUAUUUUUCUAUGCUUAUUAAUACUUUAUAUAUUGGUUAUUUUGACAAGUUUGAUUAAAUAGGGUUAUGUCUAUGAUUAUUUGAUUUUGACUUUAAUUUUAAUUUUUUAAGCCUCACCUCAUUUAGGUGUGCUUUUAUUGCUAUGCAAAUUUUUUUAAAA
rnacentral:misc_RNA from 1 species